UACACCCAGGAUGAUGACCUACCUGCAAUGGGGCUGUCUUGUCGAGGGGGUUCCUUUCUCCAGAGUGGGACAAAGACUUUGAUCUACUGUCUGAGCUGAAAUACAUUGAUGUAACUAAAUAAAGCAGAAGCAGCUACAUCUGAGCUAGCACCACAGUAAAACCUGCUUCCAGGUAUGUAAUCAAUGGCUCCACUUAAAGUGUACUGCUUGAUUUUCUUUAAAAACCUAGCUUUUAAAAAAUAAAUUACUGCUAAUUAAAAACUUCUCUUAGUACCUGUCUCUAGGUUGAAAAGAAAACAUUUACCACAUAGUUUAAUAGCCAUUACUAUUAUCUUCAAACCUGUACUUCUGUCUGCUUUGAUGCUUUUCCUUUUUUGUCUUCCCCCCCACCCUUUCUUUUACUAUCAAAACAAUUUCCCAUGUUAGCAUCACAUUGUGAUGCAUGGACGCUUGUCCUGGAUUUCAUCUUUAAUCAGGUUCAAUGCAAUCCUUCAGAAUUUUACCAGAGAUUUUUCCAGCUGCAGAGGGGGCAGAGGCCACAUCCACCUCACAGCCUCCAUCACACAUGAGUAGGUGAUGGAUAAAGCUGUUCACCACCACACUUCUCUAGCUCCAUCCCAGGCAGCUCCAAGCCCAUGGUCCAUGUCUGCACCCUUUGCUUCUUUUUGCAAGGCUUGGUCCUUCUGUGCAAGGCUUGUAAGCUGGGAAAUGCUGAGCUCUGGACGGCUGCCUGGGGCUGAUGUGAUGCAGUAUCAGCAACCACCAGCAAUAUGGUAAUUCUGCAGAGUUAAACACUGGACUUCUGAGCCAGUGUGGCCAAACAUUAAAAAUGUGUGACACAGUCACUGCAGGGUUUUCACCACAGAGAAAACAAUUUGGAAAAACUGAGAUGGAAGCCUUGGUCACAGAAAACACUGAGGUCACCCUUCUCAGGGGGGAAUUAAAGGGCAAUAAAAUACCUGCCUUACACAUUAGUAAACAGUCAGGAGUGUGCCCGAGUCCAGCAGGUCAGCGGGCUGCUAAUAACCAGCACAAAAAACAUGACAAGAGGAGAAAUUGUGUAUCACAGGGUACAGCUUCCGCUAUCACAAACAGGUUGUGAAAUUCCAUUUAUAAACUUUAUGACCUUCAUUUGCAAACUACUUAGAUUUCCUCCUGCUACUUUCCUCCCUUUAUCUCAGCUGAUCCCACUGGAAGCUGUAUUUGUUCUCACUCUACUGAAAGCCUGUCUUCUCAUUUCAUAGAAUAAUUUAUCCACAGAUCAUGGUCUGCCUAUGUUCUAGCUUAAAAAGCACUCUCUGUGGUGUUGUGACUCCUCUUACAGAUACACACAGAGACUCAGGUUUCCAAAAUUCUAUUUCAAUAUUAACAUUUUAGAAUGUUAAUAUUUCAAUCAGUACUUUUGUCCAAAAAAUCAAAAGACCUCUUACGGUUUUCUGCCUUUGGUAUAUUUUGACGGAUUUUUAAGAUUAGAAAAAUAUAAUUGAGAACAUUUUUCCAUAGAAGUGGUGCUACAUCUUGAAUGACUUCAAAGAAUAAUUUUUCCUUGUCCUUCCACCUGAUGUUUGUUCCUCUUCUGACCAGUCAGACCAGCACCUCCUGAAGCCUCAGGGCACAGAACCACAGUAAGGACCAGUCUGACUCAGAAGGAGUUAGGGCUCCUCAAAGUCCCCCCAAAAGGCCUGUUCUGCCCAAGCAGACUGAGGCAGAGGGGACACAGCCCCAGACAGACCUGGAAUUGGUCAAGGCAGAGCAGGUUUAGGUCUUCCCUAAAGUUCAUAUGCAUGCUGGGUAGCACAAGGAGCACAGCUACAGCUCCCUGCCACCACAGCAUUGCCCCUCAAACCUCAGGGCUGGACCACUUCACCCCUCUUCCUCCUUUCACCCCUGAGAAUAACACUGCAAACCACCUAAGACUGACAGCCCAUUUGAGCCCUGCCAUGUUGUGUUUCCCUGAAGGCAGAUGGGUUGCUCUACCUUCAGAAAACUAAGAAUUUUUAUUUACACAAACGAGAGAUGCACAUGAACUCUUCACAGCAACACCAGUAAUUUGUUGUCUUGAUGACAAAGAAAAGAUUUGCCUUUUUCUUCCCCACCUUCCCUGCUCUGUUUGCUAAAAAUAAUGAAGCCAAACUCUCCAGGAAGCGAGCAGUACUCCCAGGUAAUCCCUCUUGCUCUGCACCUUACCUGGCAGCUGUUUUUUCUGCAGCCCAGCAGUGUUGUCCCACCAUCCUCCAGCCAGAAGCUGGAUUCAGAGCAGUACCAGGCUCACAAGGAAGUCACCAGCUCGUAUUCAGAGGUAAGGCUGAUGUCAACUGAGAGCAAAUAAGUGCAGUGGGCAGAACUCAUUUUAUAGGAAGGUUUUACUUCCUCAUUUGACUGGCCAAACUCUCACAUAACCAUAGUUUGAUAAACUUUCACUUCAUUUUUCAAAAGGAAAAUAAAAUAAAAGCAGUUCCCAACACAUCUCCGAUCUGAGUCACAGGCAAAGAUUAGUCAAACUCACUACGGCAGGGAUGCAGAACAUUGGGCAGUGAGAACAUAGCAUAUGAAUUCUGGGCCAAGUGAAGUCUUCCACCAGGGUUGCUGUACCAAGUCAGCAUAGCCUCAUUCCCAUGCAUCUGGCAAAUACCUGACCUCCGGGGAAACAUGGAAAAAAAAAUGUUUUAAAAAAAAAAUCAACAUUUUGUUUAGUUCCCAAUACUGCAAAGCCUCAUUCAUGCCUGAAGGAACCUGCUCUGGGACACUACAAUGAAGCAUCAAAACCCAAACAAUCCCCUCUAGCCUGCUGGUGCCUCAAUCGAAAGGCUGCUUCAGAGAUGCUCCACAAAGCCUGUGCACAACAAAGACCGACAGGCACUUCUUCAUGGAAAUUUGAGGUUUUCCUCUGCUUUUUCCUUACCUUGUUGCAAAGAAACACACCCUAAAUACAAUUUUAGGCAGCAAGAAGAGUUGGAGACUCUCAGAGGGGUUAACCCCUGGUGCUUCAGACAGCUCUUGCAAGUGCAGUACCCCCUGCCCCAAGGGACGACUGGGGUGCCCUGCUGUGGAAGGAGAGAACCUCUGCCACUGUCAUAAGGUAACACACCAGAGCAGGGCUGACCUUUCCCAGUCAGAAAUCCCACUACCUGCACACUUUGUGGGAGUAAGCAGGGCAGCCAAACCCUUUGUAGUGGUAUCCUGUUUAAUGCAAACAGCGUUUGCUAGUUGCUCCAAGCCUCACUUGUUGCUUUUUCCAAGUGAUGGUUAUGACUUUACAUCACACCCAGACUCCUGGAAACUCUUUGGGAGCCAGGAUGCCCUACUGCUGUGUAACGCAGUGCCCAGGCAGUCACAGCAUAAAGGGAUAACACACGUCCUCCUCUGUCCUGGUACAACACUUCCUCUAAUCCACAAAGCUCUGGCUGGGCAGGUUAAGGCUACAGAAACAGGGAAGCGAUCCUAAGAGCCACAACUAAAGAAAUGUGUUAAUUCCCUGCCACCCAGAACAGCUGUGAGUAGAACAGCCACAACCUUUGACUCCUCACUCCUUGGACUCAAAGUCACAGAAUCACAGAAUGAACUAGGUUGGAAAAGACCUUUGAGAUCAUCAAGUCCAACCUAAACUUCAAACACCCCUGGAGAGGAGGGAUUUUCUCUGUUCCAGUUAAGCUUUCACAAUGCCACACAUCUCAUCACAAGACCACCACGUAGCAGUAGUACUGGAAAGAGAAAGUUGCUGCAUUAUUUAUAACCCAGAAAGGCAACAGAGCAAAGCACACUACAUUAUUUUUACCCCUUUACAUUUUAACCCCUACUUGUCAGUAAAACGGGGUUUUACUACCUAAAUAGGAGCUUAUACAAAGUCAAUUAGAUAAAAGAAAUUUCAUUUCUAUUGAAAUGACAAUGCCCAUCUACUGUAAAAAGCCAUGAGCAAACAAGACUUCAAAAUCAUUCAAAUCCUAGGCAACCAGGAAGACCCUCAGUCAGCUCCUGAAACCUGUUUACCUAAGUGAUCACCUGCUACCAGAAAGAAGACCAUGAGAAAUAAAUGAGCAUAUUUAACUUUUCAGAUGGCCUCACACCUUUUCGCCCAUCAGCACAGACACACAUUUGAGCACCAAAGCCUGUGGUUUCAAAGACAUUUCCUUUCUCAGCUGUGUUCCCUUGAGCUGACAAGCACGCUGAAUUUUCCCAGAACAGAUUUAUUUCUGCUCAAGGCCAGAGGGAAAGAGCUGCAGUAGGAGAAGUUUUCAGAGGGGAAGACCUCCCCACUAAUGGAUGUUUCAGUGUUGAGGACUGAGGUUACUGGUUUGUGAAACAAGUAGACACUCACCAGAAUCACUACCAACCUCAACGUGAGGCAGCCUUGCUGCAGCAGCUCCUGGAGGCUAUGGAGACCAAGCAUGACUCUGAAGAAGGCUCCCCAUGUAAAACAACUUUCCUGAUGGUGUUAGACUCCUGCAUGGAAAAAAUAUUCUCUUGAAACUGGUUCUGUGGAACACCUCAGGUGUUUUAGACUACACACCUCAGUGAGAUAUUUGCUUUGCUAAAGGAAACAGUCGGUAUUGCAUCAGCACAAAAGAAAAGCAUUAUCACCCUCUUCCUCAUCUGAAAAGUUCACCUGCUGUGUACCAAACAAACACAUGUGGCCCUAGUAACACAGUGAAAAUCCUUUAGCCCCUACCCAGUAGAAUACAGUGAGAAUGAAGCAAGUGCUAAAUCUAAUGUAGGUCUAUUUCCAGGAAUAUUUUGAAUAGUUGUGGAAUUAAUACAUUCUCCAUCCUGCCUCAAGUGGGAGUAUUCCCCUACUCCCUUCAGGAAGGCUCAGGUCAGACCUUCAAGCCAAGCUCUCUCAACAGUAUAAGCUACACUCCUGACUUUAAUUACAAUUUUUUACUAUUAGGCAAAUCUGGGUGUUUUCUGCCAGUGAAAUUCUUUCCCUGUUGGAGACACUGAAAAUUUUGAAUUGGAGACAGAUGCUCACCCCAAAAGCCUACAUCACUAAUUUAGCAGGUCCUACUAGAGUACCAGCUCAGUUACUGACAGGCAAUCCUAUACUCAGACUGGCAGAAAGCUACUAUCUUUAAAAGAAGUAUUUCUACAUGCUUACCAAAACGACCACCUUUCCUACAUCCCCAAAACAAUGCCACUGUAGCAAGCACUCCUUCUGACCACAGAACAGGAAGAACAAAAACAGGAAAACCAGUUUUAUUAAUGCAGACAAUGGUAACUUCUUGGAAAAUUUCAACCCCAUUCAUAACACCUGAUGCAGGACGAUCCCUACUUGGUUUUGCCUAAAAUAUCUAUUUUUCCUCAUUUUAUAUAACCAGCUACUGCUAUGACUCAAGUUGUUUUCCACUGGGCUCAAAAUAAAAAAGUACCUUUUUCAAUCAGAAAGUCCCAAACAAGUUUCAAGUUCAAAAGUUUACUACCGUUCAGGUUAAGAUUUCAGAAGGCUCUUGGAACUGUCUUUCAGCUUCAAUGAUUUAUUGUAAGCUUAUAAGACUGAACCCUACAUACAGUUUACUGUAUUUGUUUUUAACACAGCUACCAUAUUUAACCAAGGUGAUACUGGCUAGCUCAUUAAGAAAAAGCACAUUCCAUCUGUGGCCAGACCAAGCAUUUUACACAAAAAAUGCUGCCCGGUAGCAAGUAUUUACAUAAAUCUGAUUGUGAUUUAACAUUUUUCAAAUUGCUUGUGCUUCCUCUGUAUGCAACAGGUGAUUCACAGUAGGAGAGAAAUUAUCCAUGCUCCAGGAAGCUUACAAGCAAAACCUGUAAUUGUGUUGCCAAUAGCCUACAAGUUUUACAUGAAAAAAAUCAGGACACGGGAGGGUGAGAAGAACAAAGAUAACAGCAGCAUCAGAAAUUGUUCUAAACUUCUUGAAAAUUUUAAAAUGCUUGUCCAAAUAACUAAAAGAUGAUGGGGGUAGGGGAGAAUUUGGUUUGGUUUGUGUGGUUGUUAGGGUUGGGUGUGUUAUU